GGUUAAGCGACUAAGCGUACACGGUGGAUGCCCUGGCAGUCAGAGGCGAUGAAGGACGUGCUAAUCUGCGAUAAGCGCCGGUAAGGUGAUAUGAACCGUUAUAACCGGCGAUUUCCGAAUGGGGAAACCCAGUGUGACUCGUCACACUAUCAUUAACUGAAUCCAUAGGUUAAUGAGGCGAACCGGGGGAACUGAAACAUCUAAGUACCCCGAGGAAAAGAAAUCAACCGAGAUUCCCCCAGUAGCGGCGAGCGAACGGGGAGGAGCCCAGAGCCUGAAUCAGCAUGUGUGUUAGUGGAAGCGUCUGGAAAGGCGCGCGAUACAGGGUGACAGCCCCGUACACAAAAGCGCAUGUGUUGUGAGCUCGAUGAGUAGGGCGGGACACGUGGUAUCCUGUCUGAAUAUGGGGGGACCAUCCUCCAAGGCUAAAUACUCCUGACUGACCGAUAGUGAACCAGUACCGUGAGGGAAAGGCGAAAAGAACCCCGGCGAGGGGAGUGAAAAAGAACCUGAAACCGUGUACGUACAAGCAGUGGGAGCACCCUUCGGGGUGUGACUGCGUACCUUUUGUAUAAUGGGUCAGCGACUUAUAUUCUGUAGCAAGGUUAACCGAAUAGGGGAGCCG
rnacentral:rRNA from 2 species